GUCAAUCACCCCGGCACUUAGAGGCCGGAGCUUGUCGAAGCCCACAAGCUCGAGGUUGACCAGACCUAGCGCUGGCAGGCGCUACGUUGUGCAGAGACAGCAGACCCACCGUUGAAUGCUUCCUCAGUUCGACGCUCUGGAAGUCGCAGCAGCAGACAAGCCCCGGGUAGGCACGAAACGGGCUGCGACGGAAGCGAAGGCUGCUUCGCCUGCUGCACAACAUGGUCGAGGGGAGCCAUAC
rfam:Burkholderia calidae type strain LMG 29321 genome assembly, contig: contig000064